rnacentral:snRNA from 1 species
GGAGGUGAGGGCAAUCUGGUUGUGACUUCUGUUACCCUAUUGAACCUCCAGAUUGAUUGGGCUGAUCUUGCCGGGUGGGAGGGACCUACUUCCUCUCUGUCUGCUUCACAGAUGUCCCUUUAGAAGUCUAGGACUUUGCUGAAGAUGAUUAUCUUCAAGAGGAAGAUUUUUCUGUUAUCAGAGGUAAAAACCCAUCAUUAAAUAAAAGGCACCAUAUUGCUAAUUGAAAAGGAAACAAAAAGGUUUAUUUUUUGAUGUGUUCUUUCCUCUAGAAAGUGAACAGGUAAA